CCUACGGGUGGCAGCAGUGGGGAAUAUUGGGCAAUGGGCGCAAGCCUGACCCAGCAACGCCGCGUGAAGGAAGAAGGCUUUCGGGUUGUAAACCUCUUUUCUUAGGGACGAAGAAAGUGACGGUAGCUCCUGAAUAAGCCACGGCUAAAUACGUGCCAGCAGCCGCGGUACUACGUCGGGGGCAAGCGUUAUCCGGAUUUAUUGGGUGUAAAGGGCGUGUAGGCGGGAAAGCAAGUCAGAUGUGAAAACUCAGGGCUCAACCCUGAGACUGCAUUUGAAACUGUUUGUCUGGAGUGCAGGAGAGGCAAUCGGAAUUCCGGGUGUAGCGGUGAAAUGCGUAGAUAUACGGAGGAACACCAGUGGCGAAGGCGGAUUGCUGGACAGUAACUGACGCUGAGGCGCGAAAGCGUGGGGAGCAAACAGGAUUAGAUACCCGAGUAGUC
rnacentral:rRNA from 1 species